AUAUUCUAUAUGCUAAUUACCGAAAGUAUGUUUUGUCUCUUGAACUGCGGUAAAUACGGUUGUUGUAUAUGGCGUGUGGAUGUUGCAAUGUCCAGCGGAGUCCUUAAUUCAAUACCGGAGAUUCUAGAAAUAAUAGACAAUGAAGCAAGAGAAAUAAGGAGCAGAACAAAUAUAUUUAGCGAAUUUCAGGUUGUUGACUACAGAUGGAGAUUCCUACAUCUGAUAAGGCGAUUAUUAGAAUUGCUAGCUACAAUUUGUGUUGAAGUUCAUCCCGUUGCGAUACUGCUGGUCAAGGGAAAUUUGUGGCCUUAGAGAUGUACAUUAGAGACUUUUAUUGAGGAUUGGGGUCGCUUGCAAUCGCAGGAAAAAAUUAAUCGUGUGGUUGAAAUGCUCAUUACAAGAAGUUGUGGUUCUGUAAGCAAGUCAGGCAUUAUUGGACUUUCAAGUGAGAGUACUUUGACCUUCAUUGCUUAUCAAGAAAGGACUUAGGGAUGAAGUUCAGGAGCUUAACUCUCGAUUUCUAAAUCAAGAUGCGUACAUUGAAGAACACUGAAUGGUGAAUAAAAAGCUGGAAUCCUGCACUCCAAAGUAUCACACUGGCUCCCUCCGUUCAAAGAAACAAAUGUAUAAAUGUCAAGACAAUUUUUUUUAUCACUGCUUUCUUCAUUUAAUGUGUAGGAAGAGUAAACUUGAUAUGGAUUAAUCUAGAGUAAUCUAGAGUAAUAUGUGUCCAACCGAGCUAUGUCGGUAGUAUAAGAAGCAUCUAGAGUGUUCAGCUAAUAAGUAAGAGGG